UGCAGCGGUCUACAUGGAAUCUGUAAGU
rnacentral:piRNA from 1 species